AUAAUUUGUUAGGUUGGAUAUUGUUCUUCGUAGCAUAAGAACAUCAGCUCCUGUUCUUUCUAAUGAAGAAAAAGAAUGGAAUUCAGAACUCAAACAGACAAAUGAAAAACUUUGCAAAUUGAGAAGAAUGGUGGAAGUGGUAAAAAGCAAACAUGAAAAUAUAAUUUUACAGGCCGUCCCGAUGACUCCUACAAGAAUGCAAAAAUUAGAAUCGCAGAAUAGCUUGUCAGCGUCACAAUUAAUAAAAGUGCAUCGCGUGCUGAAGGAACAGGAGAUAAAUAUUGGUAAUCUUAUUGAAGAAACGAAAUCUCUUUCACUGAAGCUAGCGAAAAACUAAAGGAAAUUUUAUAAACGUUUUUCUUUUCAUUAGUGUUUAUGAAAAUGCAUCGUGAUUCAUUAACGGAAUUGAACAUUCAUCUUAAAAUGACAGACUGAAAAUAUCUUUUUUUUAUUUGAAUUGUCGAAAAUUCUAGUUUUAAAGGCUGGUAAUAAAGUUUAUUCAGAAGGAGAUCUUAGAAAAGGCCAUUAAAUUAUAAAUUUGUCUCAAAGCAUAAUGUUUUGCUGAACAUUGUUUAUUUGAACAGAACGCUAUAUAGUUAUUUCAAUAAAAUAAAUUAAAUAAUA
rnacentral:lncRNA from 1 species